rnacentral:snRNA from 1 species
AGCUUUACGCAGUGGCAGUAUCGUAGCCAGUGAGGUUUAUCCGAGGCGUGAUUAUUGCUAAUUAAAAGA